CAGUGUCCCUAGCAGCCGGCUGAGAGGAGGAGGAGAAAGCCAGAAAGACGGGAAAGAUAUAGAAAAACAGACAUCAAUCUACUGAGUCCUGGGUUCCAGUGAUGUAAAACUGCAAAAUGAAGGUGCUUUUGUAUGUGUCCGUUCCUGACUUCUGCCAUAAACUUCUCCCUGGCUAUAUGGGAGGUGUACAAGAAGGUGCUGUCACCCCUGCUCGGAAGGUCUUCCUUGGAGUACAUGCACACCAUGCAAUCUUCUGAAAUUAUGGUGGUGUGAAUAAAUAUCAAAUCAAUGCAUUUCAGGUCUGGAUCAUUGCCCAUGGGCUUUGGUUUGCAAAUGCUUCUUGCUUCCACUUCUUCUCACCUACCAUCAUUUUUGACAACUGGAUUCCUCUCCUAUGGUGUGCCAAUAUCUUGGGAUAUGCAGUGGCUGCGUUUGCAAUGAUGAAAGGCUGCUUUUUCCCUGCCAGUGCCAAAGACUGCAGAAUGUUAGAAAGUGGGCAUCCAUUAACACAUGACAAGAAGACAGAGAAUUAGCAGCAAAUAAACCCUGAGGAUGCAGAUGGCCAGGAAAACCCAGAAGAAAAGGGGAGCCCAGCCCAUUACAGUAAAAUGUUCCCAUGGGAAGCUGUCCUACCAGUAAUAGUCCGGAAGCUCCCAGAUGACAGUCCAUGGAUCCACCGAUUCUAUAACAAACCCAAAGGAUAAAACACUCAGAAUAGCACUAUAAAAGAUUCUCCAGCGGAAAAGGAAUGAGUUCCCAAGAACAGGAAAGUCCCCACCAGGAGCAGUGGAGGAGCAUGAUGAGGAAGAGCACAAUGAGGAAGACCUCCACCAUUAUUGCACCAAGAGCCUUCAGCCCUGCCAGAGCCUCAGUGAGAGCUGCCAGAGUGCAGAGAAAGGCAGCCCUUGGGACAGGCAUCCCUGCUCCCUCAGAGCCACGGCUAUGGGACAAACACCCUCAUCCCUGAGGCUGCAGAUGGGCAGGAAAAGCCCAAAAGCAAAGCUGAGAGUCCAGCCCACAGGAGUAAGGCAAAGCCAGAAGAAUGCGUCCCAGGAGCAAAUAUGCUGGAGCUGCCAAUUGCCAGUGCGUGGCUCUGAGGAAAAUGCAGUUGUGGCAUGGGAGAAGAGAGAGCCUUGGUGUGGUGCUGGACAAGAUCCUCCAGCAGCAAAGGCAGCAGCGUUGCCACGUCCUGAGUCUCUGGAGCAGGCAGUGAGGGAGCAAGAAGAGCAAGAUCUCCACAAGUGAAUGACUUCUGGCAAGAGUCUCCAUAGCUCCCAGAUCCUGCGUGAUAGCUGCGGGACUGGAGAGGGAGGAAGCGCUUUGGACAGGACUGCCUGCACCCUCAGAUCCGCGGGCAUC